GAAAUAUUUAUACCCGCCCCAACCCGCAAACUUUAAGUUAACCAACAAACAAUUGACAAAAAUAUACGGACAAUUGUUUGUCUAAUACAAAUGUUAUCCAACAAACAUUUGUCCUCAAAACAAAAAUAGAGAAAUAUGUAAAUAUAUCCCUAAAUUAUGUUUGUGGUGACUUUAAUUUUUUUGUUUUAAAAGGGAAAGUUUUCCGAGAUAGUUCCAACAGAAGAUUCUGUAUCUUUCUUCGAUUGAUUCACAAAAUUCAGUAUGAAAUCCAGAAACAGAACUACAUGCAUCCAUGCUCCAUCCUUUUUCUAUCCUUAAAAUUCAAAGUCCCUCUACGGCAUUUCACAACUGUUCUGAUCACCGGAAAAAGGUCACUGAUGAUAUUCCCAUUUACGCAAACAAAGUCGGACACGUUUCAAAAUCCCAGUGACUAAUGCUAUUGAUAUGAAGCAAAGUCGAUGAGUGAAGUGAUGUGUUCUCAGAAGACUAAUGCAAAAAUAUCAAAAAUGAUGUACUUUCAGAUGAUGAUCCAAGCCAUCUAGACGAUAGUGCCCUCUGGUAGGGAGGUAGCUACCAAAAAAAAGAUAAGAGUAACAAUAUAUAACAACUUAUUUAAUUAUUUCUAAAUGAAUACAUGUAUUCAUUGUUCUAAAUUUCACAAUUACAGGUACUUAGCUUAGUUAAAAAAACUUUUGAUCAUGUUAUCAAAAGCAUGUAAUCACACCUUAUAUCAGCAAAAGACUCACUUGAACUUUCUACGUAGCCCCACCUCCUCCUCCUCCAAGCUUCUUCAAGCCUCGGCCUCCAGGCUUCUUCAAGCCUCAGCCUCCAGGCUUCUUCAAGCCUCCGAAAAAUCUAACGCCGAUCACUGUCAAGCCUCUAGGGGAUACUCCAAAGCUGGUCAUUGUCAAGUCCCCACCUAUAAUUCCAACAGUCCCCUAACGGCCUAACCUCUGUCGUAGCCAAAGGCUUCUCAUUCACAAGGUUUUCUUUAGAUAAAUAUAUCUUUGUGUCUGAGACAGUGUCAACGUGUACAAUAAAAUAAACUCAUUUAUGUUUUCGAAAUUUUAAGAUAAAAUCUGAAACUUUGCUUUUGA